GGGCCCGCACAAGCGGUGGAGCAUGUGGUUUAAUUCGAUGAUACGCGAGGAACCUUACCAGGGCUUAAAUGUAAGUUGCAUUAGUUAGAGAUAGCUAUUUCUUCGGACUACUUACAAGGUGCUGCAUGGUUGUCGUCAGCUCGUGCCGUGAGGUGUCAGGUUAAGUCCUAUAACGAGCGCAACCCCUGUUGUUAGUUGCCAUCGAGUAAUGUUGGGUACUCUAGCGAGACUGCCGGUGCAAACCGAGAGGAAGGUGGGGAUGACGUCAAAUCAUCACGGCCCUUACGUCCUGGGCUACACACGUACUACAAUGGCAACUACAGAGGGAAGCAAGACCGCGAGGUGGAGCAAAUCCCAAAAAAGUUGCCUCAGUUCGGAUUGGAGUCUGCAACUCGACUCCAUGAAGUUGGAAUC
rnacentral:rRNA from 1 species